UACAGAGGGGGCAAGCGUUGUUCGGAAUUACUGGGCGUAAAGGGCGCGUAGGCGGCCGUCCCAAGCGUGCGGUGAAAGUCGGGGGCUCAACCCCUGAUCGGCCGUGCGAACUGGGGGGCUGGAGCACUGUAGAGGCAGGCGGAAUUCCGGGUGUAGCGGUGGAAUGCGUAGAGAUCCGGAAGAACACCGGUGGCGAAGGCGGCCUGCUGGGCAGUGGCUGACGCUGAGGCGCGACAGCGUGGGGAGCAAACAGG
rnacentral:rRNA from 1 species